rnacentral:misc_RNA from 1 species
GAUAAGGAUGAUUCUUUCAUGUGGGGUGGGUGUCUCUGGCGUUUCUUGAUUUGGGUGGUCAAUUUCACUCUGGGUGGUGGUGCUGGUGGUGCCAGUAAAGCCCAACAUGAAGGGCAAAAACAAAGAGAGGUCUCUAUGCCUUAACAUCCUCUCAAUAGCAGAAGAUAACUCAGGUGGUUGAGUCUCAGAGGCCAUUUUAGUAAGUCUAGAAGAGGGAGAAAGAAAGAUGAAGAAUGGAAAAC